GUGGGGAAUCUUCCGCAAUGGACGAAAGUCUGACGGAGCAACGCCGCGUGAGUGAAGAAGGUUUUCGGAUCGUAAAGCUCUUUCGUUAGGGACGAACGUGCUCUUUGUGAAUAAUGAGGAGUAAUGACGGUACCUAAAUAAGAAGCCACGGCUAACUACGUGCCAGCAGCCGCGGUAAUACGUAGGUGGCAAGCGUUGUCCGGAAUUAUUGGGCGUAAAGCGCGCGCAGGCGGGAUAUCAAGUCUGUCUUAAAAGUGCGAGGCUCAACCUCGUGAGGGGACAGAAACUGUUAUUCUUGAGUGUCGGAGAGGAAAGUGGAAUUCCAAGUGUAGCGGUGAAAUGCGUAGAGAUUUGGAAGAACACCAGUGGCGAAGGCGACUUUCUGGACGAUGUCUGACGCUGAGGCGCGAAAGCUAGGGGAGCGAACGGGAUUAGAAACCCCGGUAGUCC
rnacentral:rRNA from 1 species